CCACGGUAUGAUUCAUGACUGGGGUGAAGUCGUAACAAGGUAACCGUAGGGGAACCUGCGGUUGGAUCACCUCCUUACC
rnacentral:rRNA from 1 species